ACUAAUUGGAAGGUGAAACAAACCUUGCUGAACUUCACCGGUUAGGAGCUAUAACGAUUGAUAUUGCUCACCUCAGCAUUUAAAUAUGGGCAAUAAUAAUCCCCGUGCUUUAGAACUUUUAGAAAAAGGAUUCUUUUUAAAGGAAGAAUGUUGCGGGACAAUCCUAAAGAAGGGAGAGAAAAAAAAUCAAUCCUAUUGAUCAAGCUCUCUUCUAUUCAUCAACAAUAACUUACAUCCAGUCAGAAGUUUAUUAUUCUCAGGACAGAUAGUAUAGUUGUCUAUACUCUGUUCAGGAGGCGUGAUUGAUUGAUAUGAGACUAAAGCG
rnacentral:lncRNA from 1 species